AACCUGUUUUUUUUUUUUUUUUUUAUGGCAUUUUAUUCCAGAAAAAUGUUUUUGUAGGAAUCUAUGUACACUCUGACACCAAUUUAUGAAGUCACUUUCAAACAUUCCUGUCCAUUUGUUUUGUUUCCUUGAGGUACAUGAUCCAUGUUUUAAGGUUGCUGUUACUAACUUCCCAUCAGGCACCAUACAUUUUUUUUUUUUAAAUUCUAGGAAUUUCAUUUUCAGUCUUAUUUUUUUUUUUGGACUGGUUUCAUUUAAAUAGACAACAGUUGUUUUUGUGGUGUAUGACAUUGGUUGAAUGUAAUGUGCACAAUUUUUGUGUCAACAGCUUUAUCUGUUACGAUUCUGUUGUUGUUUUUUUUUCCCCCUUAUGUAAACUGUGGUAUCAUCAAGGCCAUAAUAAAAAAUAAAAAAAAGGUCGAAAGGUUAUGCCAUAUAUUUUUGUUACAAAACUUUUUUAAAAAUUUGGUCGUGGUUCUGAGUCACGAGUGUCGCUUGCUGCUUUACAACUGAAUAAGGGACCAGACUGUACAAACAAUUAUUAUAUAUAAUUACCUUUUUCUUUUUAAAAUAAAAGUACAUAUCCUAAAUAAAAAUACUGGACUGUCAAAUACAUCUAAUUAAGCUUAUGUUUUCUUUUUGACAAUAUGUUUUUAUUUGAAAUGUAAAAUGUUAUUUUACACACACAAAGCCCCCCCCCCCCCCUCCCU